UACGAAGGGGGCUAGCGUUGUUCGGAAUUACUGGGCGUAAAGCGCGCGUAGGCGGUUUUGCAAGCCAGAGGUGAAAUGCCUGAGCUCAACUUAGGAAUUGCCUUUGGGACUGCGAGGCUUUGAGGACUGGAGAGGUGAGUGGAAUUCCCAGUGUAGAGGUGAAAUUCGUAGAUAUUGGGAAGAACACCGGUGGCGAAGGCGGCAUCCUGGACCAACACUGACGCUGAUGAGCGAAAGCCAGGGGAGCAAACAGG
rnacentral:rRNA from 1 species